rnacentral:rRNA from 1 species
GAUGAACGCUGGCGGCGUGCCUAAUACAUGCAAGUCGAGCGAACAGACGAGGAGCUUGCUCCUCUGACGUUAGCGGCGGACGGGUGAGUAACACGUGGAUAACCUACCUAUAAGACUGGGAUAACUUCGGGAAACCGGAGCUAAUACCGGAUAAUAUAUUGAACCGCAUGGUUCAAUAGAGAAAGACGGUUUUGCUGUCACUUAUAGAUGGAUCCGCGCCGCAUUAGCUAGUUGGUAAGGUAACGGCUUACCAAGGCAACGAUGCGUAGCCGACCUGAGAGGGUGAUCGGCCACACUGGAACUGAGACACGGUCCAGACUCCUACGGGAGGCAGCAGUAGGGAAUCUUCCGCAAUGGGCGAAAGCCUGACGGAGCAACGCCGCGUGAGUGAUGAAGGUCUUCGGAUCGUAAAACUCUGUUAUUAUGGAAGAACAAAUGUGUAAGUAACUAUGCACGUCUUGACGGUACCUAAUCAGAAAGCCACGGCUAACUACGUG